rnacentral:rRNA from 1 species
CUUAAAUUGAAGAGUUUGAUCAUGGCUCAGAUUGAACGCUGGCGGCAGGCCUAACACAUGCAAGUCGAGCGGCAGCGGAAAGUAGCUUGCUACUUUGCCGGCGAGCGGCGGACGGGUGAGUAAUGUCUGGGGAUCUGCCUGAUGGAGGGGGAUAACUACUGGAAACGGUAGCUAAUACCGCAUAACCUCGCAAGAGCAAAGUGGGGGACCUUCGGGCCUCACGCCAUCGGAUGAACCCAGAUGGGAUUAGCUAGUAGGUGGGGUAAUGGCUCACCUAGGCGACGAUCCCUAGCUGGUCUGAGAGGAUGACCAGCCACACUGGAACUGAGACACGGUCCAGACUCCUACGGGAGGCAGCAGUGGGGAAUAUUGCACAAUGGGCGCAAGCCUGAUGCAGCCAUGCCGCGUGUGUGAAGAAGGCCUUCGGGUUGUAAAGCACUUUCAGCGAGGAGGAAGGGUUAAGUGUUAAUAGCACUGAACAUUGACGUUACUCGCAGAAGAAGCACCGGCUAACUCC